rnacentral:lncRNA from 1 species
AAAAAAGCAAGGUUCUUUAAGUUGAAGUUCCUUCUGAGAAUCUAUUUUUACUUUUAGUGGAAUUUCAAUCAAAUCGGUUAUAUAAAUCACACAUCUUUUCUUACCAUAAAUUGUGUGAGAUAAUGAGCAUUUUGAAACCAUUGAUGGUAUUUUGUUUUACGUUAUUAUAAUGAAUCAUAGUAAUUAUAGGCAAAGGUAGUAUCAUCAUAAUUAUUAUAGCUUUUAUUUUCUUACCAUAAAUUCAUGGGUUUUUUUUUUUUUUGUAAUAGUAGUUGUUGGGGCUAGUCUCAUGGAUUAUGAUGAGUGGCAUAACGUGAAACAUCAUAUUUGACACAUGGAAUUUUUGAUGUUCCUAGUUUUCUUCAAAGAGUCAAAUACUGUAUUCAAAUAUGUGGUCAUGGGGUUAUUUACCCUUGAGGUAGCUUCUUCAUUUCUCUCAUGUUUUAGCUUUGGAAUUAAAU